UGCCGAGUUGCAGUUAUCCGGUGCCAAGUUGCAUCAGCUCAUGAAAGAUAUAAAAGCCGGUUGAGUGGCGUGUUUUAUGUGUCUGACUGAACUCUUCAGAGGAGUUGAGUUGUAGAGUCAUUCCUGUAGGCUGACGGCGGGGGAACAGAAGAAGAGUUCAGAUGAAGCUGUUUGUGAAUGAAGGCAAUCCGCAGUGUGUGAAAGUGCUGGCGGCGCUCGAGCACACCGCAGUGCAAUGUGACGUGCAGCUGCUCAGCCAUGAGGAACGGGUGGUGUCCUUCCUGAGUCGCCCAGUCCUGCCUGCUGUGCUGUUGCCCAGCGGCCAGCAACUUUUCAGUGCUAAUGCCAUCUGCCAGUAUCUGUUUGAGGUUGGUGGGAAAGAAAUCACUGAUGCUAGCAGGCAGUUACUGGAAUGGGAAGCAACCGAAUUGCAGCCUGUGCUGCUUCAGGCCCUCCAUGUGGCAGUGCUGCAGGGGAAGAGCAGCGAGGCUGGCACACUGCUGAAAAAACCUCUGAGCUGGCUGGAGCAGUGUCUGAGUGGAAAAAGCACACAGUUCCUAGCUGCAGAGACAGUCGAAGUGGCAGACAUUGUCUUAUGGGCAGCACUGUACCCCGUUCUGUCUGUCUCGGCUUUGGAAGCUGGUGAGCUGCGUUCUGUUCAAGGCUGGUUUGAGCGUGUAGGUCAGCUCCCAGCAUGCACCACAGCAGUGCAAAAGAUUCUGCCAGGCAAAGAUCUUAAAGCUCUGAAGAAUUUCCUUCAAAAGCAACCAGCUCCACACACACAGCAAAAGGAAAACCUGCCCAGUGAGCUGGAAGGCGUGGAGCAUGUGAUGACUGCAGAGGAAAUUGAGGUAGCUGCUCAGGCUUGGACUAAAGGACUGGCAGAGUGUCAUGAUGCCAUAGAAAGGAAAAACCCUGUUUUACCUGAGGAAGGGAUGCGUAAUGUGCUGGUCACAAGUGCACUGCCGUAUGUCAACAACGUGCCUCACCUAGGCAACAUCAUCGGCUGUGUGCUGAGCGCUGAUGUAUUCUCCAGAUAUGGCCGUUUGCGUGGCUGGAACUUGCUUUAUGUGUGCGGGACAGACGAGUACGGCACUGCAACAGAGAACAAGGCUCUUGAGGAGGGUCUAACGCCCCAGGAGAUAUGUGACAAAUACUAUGCUGUCCACACUGCCAUCUACAAGUGGUUCCAGAUCGACUUUGACUAUUUCGGCCGCACCACCACUCAACAACAGACAGAAAUUGCACAGAACAUAUUCUUUCGUUUACAUGAGAGGGGAUUUUUACACGAGGACACAGUGGAGCAGCUGUGCUGUGAGAACUGUCAGCGCUUCCUAGCUGACCGCUUUGUAGAGGGUGUGUGUCCUUAUUGCAAAUAUCCUGAAGCCAGAGGGGACCAAUGUGAUAAGUGUGGCCGACUCAUUAACGCUGUGGAGCUCAAGGAUCCUCAGUGUAAGGUGUGUGGACAGACUCCUGUGAUUCGCACCUCUAAGCACUUGUUUCUUGACCUGCCCCAGCUGGAAGGCGAGUUGGAGAAGUGGCUGGAGCAGUCUUUGAAUACAGGUGAUUGGACCGCUAACGCUAAGCAAAUCACCCGCUCAUGGAUAAGAGAUGGUCUGAAGCCACGCUGCAUCACACGAGAUCUGAAGUGGGGGACACCUGUACCACUCCCAGAAUAUAGUGGAAAGGUGUUUUAUGUCUGGUUCGACGCGCCCAUUGGCUACCUCUCAAUAACUGCCAAUUACACCAGUGAAUGGGAGAAAUGGUGGAAGAACCCACAACAGGUGGAGCUGUACAACUUCAUGGCAAAAGACAAUGUACCAUUCCACAGUGUAGUUUUCCCCUGCUCUCUGCUCGGGGCACAGGACAACUACACACUCGUCAACCACCUCAUCGCUACAGAAUAUUUGAACUAUGAGGACACAAAGUUCUCAAAGAGCCGUGGUGUGGGAGUGUUUGGAGACAUGGCUAAAGACACAGGCAUUCCAUCGGACGUUUGGCGUUUCUAUCUUACCUACGUGAGACCUGAGGGCCAGGACUCCUCCUUCUCUUGGGCCGACCUGGCUCUGAAGAACAACUCCGAACUGCUCAAUAACCUGGGCAAUUUUAUCAACAGGGCAGGCAUGUUUGUGAAUAAGUUCUUUAAUGGCUGUGUGCCGGAGAUUGUUCUGCAGGAUGAAGACAAGCGUCUCAUUGCUCAGGUGUCCUGGGAGCUCAAGCAGUACAUCCAGUUGCUGGACAAAGUCAGGAUUCGCGAUGCCUUGAAGUGCAUUCUCAAUAUCUCUCGUCAUGGCAACCAGUAUAUUCAGAGUAAUGAACCCUGGAAGAAGAUCAAAGGAGGAGAUGAGGACAGGAAACGUGCAGGCACAGUAACUGGCGUGUCGGUGAAUGUGGCGUGUCUCCUGUCGGCCAUGUUGGAGCCGUACAUGCCCACAGUCAGUCGGACCAUUCGUACCCAGCUGCAAGCUUCAGAUAAUUGUGCCAGUGCCAUGCUGGGUGCUGAGGGAUGUUUCCUCCGCAGCCUCCCAACCGGCCACCAAAUCGGCACGGUCAGUCCUUUGUUCCAGAAGCUGGAGUCUGAGCAAAUUGAGACACUAAGGAAGAAAUUUGGAGGACAGCAGCCGGAGGAGGAGACCCCUACGGGGAAAGGGUCGCAGUGAGGAGACGAGCACAACGGAGACCAAGCCUCCCAAUGCCGCAGAACCUAUUGCUAGUCAAGGAAAGAAGUGAUGAGAGAAGAGAAAGAAUGAGGAGGAAUGAGGAUACCUUCAUUUGGGUGUACCAGAAGAAGGUACAUAGUGCAGGGAUAUUUUUUUCUAAAAGAAUCAUUGUGAAAGAAAAUGUAACUGUAAUCAACUUGACAUGACUGCUGCCAAGACAGAGCAAAUUACAAUGUACAACAAUAAUAAAUCCUUUAAAUAUAGUAAGGCAAUACUAUGUCUGUGAAGAAAUUUAUCAUUCAGUAGAAAGGUUUAUAGACCUUGGGCUUUUUAAAAUCAGUAAAGAAUAUGCACGUUACCUGUUUUUUUAAAUUUAUUUAAAUUGAUCACUUUCCUUGUAUUAAUCAAAUUCACUGAUCAUUAAAUAAACACAAGUUACUCAUUCAA